rnacentral:misc_RNA from 1 species
GUUUUCAUGCAUAUAGCCAAACAUUUAUAAGCAAUUCCUUAUCUACUACUUGUGCAAUAGGAAGUACAAGACAAUGAUUGUAUUGAUUUCUUCUUGCAGGGAAGUUACAAUAUUUCCUCUUUCCAUUGCUUAGUAUCUUCGUUUUUACAGCUGCGGUUCAAGCUCAGGAUCAAUAUGGGUUCAUCAGCAUAGAUUGUGGAAUACCAGAUAAUGCUACCUACACCGAUAAAAGAACAAACUUAAAUUACGUUUCUGAUGCUGCAUUUGUUGACACUGGCAUAAGUAUGAAAAUAUCAACUGAAUUCAGGACAUAUGAUAUAGACCAGCAGCUACAGAAUCUUAGAGGCUUUCCUGAGGGAAACAGAAA